CGGAGAGAGGGAUGGGCGUGGCUAAUAUGAAAGCUGCAUCUUUACUAGUUAGCUACCAUGCGUCAUUAUUUAUCAAAAGAGUUUGCUCUGUCGCCCAGGAUGGAGUGCAGUGCAGUGGCGCGAUCCUGCAACCUCCGCCUCUCGAGUUCAAGCGAUUCUCCUGCCUCAGCCUCCCGAGUAGCUGGGAUUACAGACGCGCGCCACCCCACCCAGAUGAUCUUUUUAAAUGCAAAAUGCCAUCGACGCAGAAAAUCAAAGAAUCAGCUUAAGUUCCAGAAAAAAGAAAAACCAACCAAAUGAACAAUAAGACAACAACAACAACAACAAAAAAGGCCUUUUGGGAUUUUGGAUGAUAUUGCAUCAAAUCCAUACAUUAACCUGAGAGACGAGCGACUUCUUCAACAUUGAGCCUUCCAAUCAUGAUUUUCAAUUCAUUUAGGUCUUCUGUAAUGUUUCUUAAUAUAAUUGUAUUUGUUGCUAUGCAGAAGUUUCACUGAUCUUUUAUUAUAUCUCUAUAUAUAUUUGAUAUUUCUGACACUAUUGUAAAUAGUAUCUUUUUAAUAUUUCAUUUUCCUUUUUUGUUGCUUAAAUAUAUAUAAAAUAAGCUAAUUUUCCAAACUAAUUUUUAUAUCCAGCAACCCUGCUAAAAUUUCUUAUCC
rnacentral:lncRNA from 10 species